rnacentral:rRNA from 1 species
AGGAUGAACGCUGGCGGUCUGCUUAACACAUGCAAGUCGAACGGAGUAGCAAUACUUAGUGGCGGACGGGUGAGUAACGCGUGAGAAUCUACCUUCAGGACGGAGACAACAGUUGGAAACGACUGCUAACCCCCGAUGUACCGAAAGGGCAAAUAUUUAUAGCCUGAAGAAGAGCUCGCGUCCGAUUAGCUAGUUGGAGAGGUAAAAGCUCACCAAGGCGACGAUCGGUAGCUGGUCUGAGAGGACGAUCAGCCACACUGGGACUGAGACACGGCCCAGACUCCUACGGGAGGCAGCAGUGGGAUUUCGCAAUGGGCGAAAGCCUGACGGAGCAAGACCGCGUGGGGAAGAAGGCUCUUGGGUUGUAAACCCCUUUCUCUGGGAAGAACGCAAUGACGGUACCAGAGGAAUCAGCAUCGGCUAACUCCGUGCCAGCAGCCGC